rnacentral:rRNA from 1 species
AUGGUUGGCAAUGGGCGUACGGCCAGAUUCUGGAACUCCUCUUGGCUGAAUGGGUUGCGCCCGCGUGAUAUUGCACCUCACGUCUUUGAGCUAUCCAAAAAGAAAAAUUGCUCGGUCCAACAAGCUUUAACAAACAACACUUGGAUCUCUCACAUCGACAUCUCCAAUGGCCUAACCAUCGACCAUGUUCAACAGUUUGCCAACCUUUGGGAAAAGGUUGCUCAGGUCACACUUGCUGAGGAUAUGGAGGAUUCCAUUAUUUGGAAGUUCAUCAAGGACGGUUUGUACUCUGCCUCAUCAGCUUAUAAGGCGCAAUUUGAGGGCCUUACUACGUCGGACAUGGUUCACUCGGUGUGGAAGGUGUGGGCUCCUCCGCGGUGCAAAUUUUUUGCUUGGCUUGCCCUUCAAAACAGGAUUCGGACAUCAGAUCGCCUUAUUCGUCGUGGAUGGCCCAACUGCGGUCUUUGCCGCCUUUGCAAGCAAAGUCAGGAAUCGGCGGCCCACCUACUGUUUCAAUGUCGUUUCACCCUUCGCAUGUGGAAUGAUAUUCUCCAGUGGCUCGGCUUGAAACACAUCAAUACCGCUGCUUGGACGACGAGGGUCUAUGUGAGGGAAUGGUGGACAGAAAACAUUCAUAUCCGCACCGAAUCCCCCAAGGCGCUUGCUUCACUGAUGACGCUCAUCUCCUGGGAGAUUUGGUCGGAGCGCAAUGCUAGAAUUUUCCGCAGCACGGCCGCUCCUUCGGUGGUCCUCUUUAGCAAGAUUAAAGAGGAGUUGUCUCUUUGGGCUUGGGCGGGCGCCAAGCACUUGAGUAUUAUAAUGGCGCGAGGGUAG